UACAGAGGUCCCGAGCGUUGUUCGGAUUUAUUGGGCGUAAAGGGUGCGUAGGCGGCGGAGUAAGUUGGGAUGUGAAAUCCCGGGGCUUAACCUCGGAAUUGCAUUCAAUACUGGCUUCGCUCGAGUACUGGAGAGGAGGCUGGAAGUUUAACGGUGUAGCAGUGAAAUGCGUAGAUAUCGUAAGGAAGGCCGGUGGCGAAAGCGAGCCUCUGGACAGUUACUGACGCUGAUGCACGAAGGCCAGGGGAGCAAACCGGGG
rnacentral:rRNA from 1 species